UUAAGCGACCAAGCGUACACGGUGGAUGCCCUGGCAGUCAGAGGCGAUGAAGGACGUGCUAAUCUGCGAAAAGCGCCGGUAAGGUGAUAUGAACCGUUAUAACCGGCGAUGUCCGAAUGGGGAAACCCAGUGUGACUCGUCACACUAUCAUUAACUGAAUCCAUAGGUUAAUGAGGCGAACCGGGGGAACUGAAACAUCUAAGUACCCCGAGGAAAAGAAAUCAACCGAGAUUCCCCCAGUAGCGGCGAGCGAACGGGGAGGAGCCCAGAGCCUGAAUCAGCAUGUGUGUUAGUGGAAGCGUCUGGAAAGGCGCGCGAUACAGGGUGAGAGCCCCGUACACAAAAGCGCAUAUGCUGUGAGCUCGAUGAGUAGGGCGGGACACGUGGUAUCCUGUCUGAAUAUGGGGGGGACCAUCCUCCAAGGCUAAAUACUCCUGACUGACCGAUAGUGAACCAGUACCGUGAGGGAAAGGCGAAAAGAACCCCGGCGAGGGGAGUGAAACAGAACCUGAAACCGUGUACGUACAAGCAGUGGGAGCCCCACCACUAAGCCAGUGGUGAACUCCACAUACGCAUCCUUUGCGGAAGAUGCGGUUAACGGCGCGCAAGCGACGUUCAACCUCAAAAGAAGCAGAGGGGCUUAGUGGUGGGGUGACUGCGUACCUUUUGUAUAAUGGGUCAGCGACUUAUAUUCUGUAGCAAGGUUAACCGCAUAGGGGAGCCGAAGGGAAACCGAGUCUUAAUUGGGCGUUAAGUUGCAGGGUAUAGACCCGAAACCCGGUGAUCUAGCCAUGGGCAGGUUGAAGGUUGGGUAACACUAACUGGAGGACCGAACCGACUAAUGUUGAAAAAUUAGCGGAUGACCUGUGGCUGGGGGUGAAAGGCCAAUCAAACCGGGAGAUAGCUGGUUCUCCCCGAAAGCUAUUUAGGUAGCGCCUCGUGAAUUCAUCUCCGGGGGUAGAGCACUGUUUCGGCUAGGGGGCCAUCCCGGCUUACCAACCCGAUGCAAACUGCGAAUACCGGAGAAUGUUAUCACGGGAGACACACGGCGGGUGCUAACGUCCGUCGUGAAGAGGGAAACAACCCAGACCGCCAGCUAAGGUCCCAAAGUCAUGGUUAAGUGGGAAACGAUGUGGGAAGGCCCAGACAGCCAGGAUGUUGGCUUAGAAGCAGCCAUCAUUUAAAGAAAGCGUAAUAGCUCACUGGUCGAGUCGGCCUGCGCGGAAGAUGUAACGGGGCUAAACCAUGCACCGAAGCUGCGGCAGCGACACUGUGUGUUGUUGGGUAGGGGAGCGUUCUGUAAGCCGUUGAAGGUGUGUCGUGAGGCAUGCUGGAGGUAUCAGAAGUGCGAAUGCUGACAUAAGUAACGAUAAAGCGGGUGAAAAGCCCGCUCGCCGGAAGACCAAGGGUUCCUGUCCAACGUUAAUCGGGGCAGGGUGAGUCGACCCUAAGGCGAGGCCGAAAGGCGUAGUCGAUGGGAAACGGGUUAAUAUUCCCGUACUUGGUGUUACUGCGAAGGGGGGACGGAGAAGGCUAUGUUGGCCGGGCGACGGUAGUCCCGGUUUAAGCGUGUAGGUGUGUGUUCCAGGUAAAUCCGGUUCACUUUAACACUGAGGCGUGAUGACGAGGCACCACGGUGCUGAAGCAACAAAUGCCCUGCUUCCAGGAAAAGCCUCUAAGCAUCAGGUAACAUCAAAUCGUACCCCAAACCGACACAGGUGGUCAGGUAGAGAAUACCAAGGCGCUUGAGAGAACUCGGGUGAAGGAACUAGGCAAAAUGGUGCCGUAACUUCGGGAGAAGGCACGCUGACACGUAGGUGAAGUGAUUUACUCAUGGAGCUGAAGUCAGUCGAAGAUACCAGCUGGCUGCAACUGUUUAUUAAAAACACAGCACUGUGCAAACACGAAAGUGGACGUAUACGGUGUGACGCCUGCCCGGUGCCGGAAGGUUAAUUGAUGGGGUCAGCGCAAGCGAAGCUCCUGAUCGAAGCCCCGGUAAACGGCGGCCGUAACUAUAACGGUCCUAAGGUAGCGAAAUUCCUUGUCGGGUAAGUUCCGACCUGCACGAAUGGCGUAAUGAUGGCCAGGCUGUCUCCACCCGAGACUCAGUGAAAUUGAACUCGCUGUGAAGAUGCAGUGUACCCGCGGCAAGACGGAAAGACCCCGUGAACCUUUACUAUAGCUUGACACUGAACAUUGAGCCUUGAUGUGUAGGAUAGGUGGGAGGCUUUGAAGCGUGGACGCCAGUCUGCGUGGAGCCGACCUUGAAAUACCACCCUUUAAUGUUUGAUGUUCUAACGUGGACCCGUAAUCCGGGUUGCGGACAGUGUCUGGUGGGUAGUUUGACUGGGGCGGUCUCCUCCUAAAGAGUAACGGAGGAGCACGAAGGUUGGCUAAUCCUGGUCGGACAUCAGGAGGUUAGUGCAAUGGCAUAAGCCAGCUUGACUGCGAGCGUGACGGCGCGAGCAGGUGCGAAAGCAGGUCAUAGUGAUCCGGUGGUUCUGAAUGGAAGGGCCAUCGCUCAACGGAUAAAAGGUACUCCGGGGAUAACAGGCUGAUACCGCCCAAGAGUUCAUAUCGACGGCGGUGUUUGGCACCUCGAUGUCGGCUCAUCACAUCCUGGGGCUGAAGUAGGUCCCAAGGGUAUGGCUGUUCGCCAUUUAAAGUGGUACGCGAGCUGGGUUUAGAACGUCGUGAGACAGUUCGGUCCCUAUCUGCCGUGGGCGCUGGAAGACUGAGGGGGGGCUGCUCCUAGUACGAGAGGACCGGAGUGGACGCAUCACUGGUGUUCGGGUUGUCAUGCCAAUGGCACUGCCCGGUAGCUAAAUGCGGAAAAGAUAAGUGCUGAAAGCAUCUAAGCACGAAACUUGCCCGAGAUGAGUCUUCCCUGAGACCUUGAGUCUCCUGAAGGAACGUUAAAGACGAUGACGUUGAUAGGCCGGGUGUGUAAGCGCAGCGAUGCGUUGAGCUAACCGGUACUAAUGAACCGUGAGGCUUAACCUU
rnacentral:rRNA from 1 species